rnacentral:rRNA from 1 species
GUAGUCAUAUGCUUGUCUCAAAGACUAAGCCAUGCAUGUCUAAGUAUAAACACUUUUAUACUCGUGAAACUGCGAAUGGCCCAUUAAAACAGUUAUAGUUCCUUUGGGAACAACACUACUUGGAUAACCGUAGUAAUUCUAGAGCUAAUACAUGCCUCAACGCCCGACUCACGAAGGGUGGUAUUUAUUGGAUAAAAAACCAUCGUGCUCUGUCCAGAGCGCUUUGAGAUGAUUCACAAUAACUUGUCGGAUCGCAUGGCCUCGUGCUGGCGACUCCUCAUUCAAAUUUCUGCCCUAUCAACUUUCGAUGGUAGAGUAUUGGUCUACCAUGGUGUCGACGGGUGACGGGGAAUUAGGGUUCGAUUCCGGAGAGGGAGCCUGAGAAACGGCUACCACAUCCAAGGAAGGCAGCAGGCGCGCAAAUUACCCAAUCCCCGACUCGGGGAGGUAGUGACAAAAAAUAACAAUAGGGGGCCCUUUGGGUCUUCUAAUUGGAAUGAGAACAAUUUAAAUCCCUUAUCGAAGGAUCCAUUGGAGGGCAAGUCUGGUGCCAGCAGCCGCGGUAAUUCCAAGCUGGAAUAGGGUAUAUUAAAGUUGUGCAGUUAAAACGCUCGUAGUCGGACCUCGAAGCGCCCCCACGGGCCGGGCUUUUUGCCUUGUUGCCAGUGGAAGUUUGUCUCCUUUUGUCGGACGCGGUGUGCAGGGCCUUUACUGUCUCUGCGCGUUUACCUGCGGGCCGACCGUUUACUGUGAAGAAAGUAAAGUGUUCAAAGCAGGCCAAUGCCUUGAAUAUGUGAGCAUGGAAUAAUAGAAUAGGACUUGGGCUCUAUUUUGUUGGUUUCCAGUGACCAAGUAAUGAUUAAUAGGGACGGUUGGGGGCAUUCGUAUUUCAUUGUCAGAGGUGAAAUUCUUGGAUUGAUGGAAGACGUACAACUGCGAAAGCAUCUGCCAUGGAUGUUUUCAUUGAUCAAGAACGAAAGUUAGGGGAUCGAAGACGAUCAGAUACCGUCGUAGUCUUAACCAUAAACGAUGCCGACUGGGGAUUGGCGGGGGCACUUUUAUAUGACUCUGUCAGCACCCUGAGGGAAACCAAAGUCUUUGGGUUCUGGGGGGAGUAUGGUCGCAAGGCUGAAACUUAAAGGAAUUGACGGAAGGGCACCACCAGGCGUGGAGCCUGCGGCCUAAUUUGACUCAACACGGGAAAACUUACCAGGUCCAGACAUAGGAAGGAUUGACAGAUUGAUAGCUCUUUCUUGAUUCUGUGGGUGGUGGUGCAUGGCCGUUCUUAGUUGGUGGGUUGCCUUGUCAGGUUGAUUCCGGUAACGAACGAGACCUCAGCCUGCUAAAUAGUGACGAUUGCUUUGGCAGUUGGCCCGCUUCUUAGAGGGACUGUUGGCGUCUAGCCAAUGGAAGUAUGAGGCAAUAACAGGUCUGUGAUGCCCUUAGAUGUUCUGGCCGCACGCGCGGCUACACUGAUACGUUCAACAAGUUCCUAGGCCGAAGGUCCGGGUAAUCUUUGAAACCGUAUCGUGAUGGGGAUAGAACAUUGCAAUUAUUGUUCUUCAACGAGGAAUGCCUAGUAAGCGUGAGUCAUCAUCUCGCGUUGAUUACGUCCCUGCCCUUUGUACACACCGCCCGUCGCUCCUACCGAUUGAACGUGCCGGUGAAGAGUUCGGAUUGGAGUCUUGGCUAGGUUUCCUAGCCCUGAUUCCGAGAAGUUCUUUAAACCCUCCCGUUUAGAGGAAGGAGAAGUCGUAACAAGGUUUCCGUAGGUGAACCUGCGGA